GCGGGGCGCACGCGUCCGGGGCCCUCGGAAGCGGGCGGCCGGGCCACAGCGGGGCCUGAGCCUCCUGGGGUUUCGCGUGGGCGCGGCUGCGGCUGCGAGCGGAGGCUGCUGGACUGAAGUAGGACUCAGCACGCGCUGCGACGCCCGAGCCCUCCGGGUUCGGCUCCAUUAAUUUCCCUGCGCGUACACCUGUGUGGCCACCGCCCGCCCAGCAGAACGUGCCAGCACCCUCCAAAGGAUCCCUCGCGCUUCUUCCCAACCUGCUUCCCUUCGUCGCACCCCCGGAGCGGUCCCAAGCCUCAGGCAUCCACACUAUUCUGCUUUUUUGUCACUAUAGAUCCGUUUUUGCCUGGUUGUGGACUUGUUAUACUUGAACUCGUACUAAAUACUCUCAUUUGGCUUCUUGCACUCGAUCCUGCAUUUCAGACCUUCCUGUUGUACCUAAUAAAGCUGUGGUGAACAUUCUGGUAAGGUUUGCUUUGGUGGACUGAAGCUCUUGUUUCUCUGGAGUAAAUACCUCCGAGUGGAUUUACUGGGGCACAAGGUGAGUUACGUUUACUUCCAUUAGAUGCUGUGAAACAGUUAUGCAAGUGACAUACUGUAUACCGAGAGAGGCAGCGCAGGGAAAGGAGCAGGAGAGGGACAAGCAGCCUCCAUGCUGAGCACGGAGUGCAGCACACGGCUGGAUCUUGCAACCCUGAGAUCAUGACCUGAGCCAAAAUCAAGAGUUGAUCACCCAACAGACUGAGCCACCAGGUACCCUCUGGGUUAUUUUUUGAACAAAGACAGGCCCAAAUGGGGCUACCACAAUGUAAUUAAUGUUAUCGGUGUUCCCUUUGAGCAGACUGUUCCUGUGGCUGAACUUCUAACUUCAUUUGUAAAUGACCCCAGAAAUCUGCAUCUCAGAAAUAUAAUGCCUGAUCCAUCCUAUUAGAAGACCAUCAUCAAUGUGGCAAAGUCUUGGUAAUUCUAGAAUGUGGAGAUAUUCACCCACUCUAUUUUGACAUGCCUCAAUGCCCACAGGCCUGAAGUUGAUGUUGCAUAUCAUUUUUUUUUCUGUAGAUUUACAUUUUUCACUCCAGUCCUUUUUCAGGGCUUUCGAAUCCACAACGGAGAUGAUAGAGGGGGUCAUUGUUGGAGGGAAACACAAAAACCAAGCACUGGAUAAUUUCUCCUCCUCCAAGAGGCCUUGAUCCAAUUCUCCACCAAUCUUCCAAAUCAGUGAUUUUCAAUGUAUGGUCCCUAGACCAGCAGCACCAGCGUCCCCUGGGAUCUUGCGAGAAAUAUAAAUUUUGGGGCCACACCCAGAACUGCUGAAUCAGAAACUCUUGGGGUGAGGCUCAGCAAUCUCUGCUUUGACAAGCUGUCCCCUCACCUCCCACAUGAUUCCGAUGCAUGCUGAAGUUUGAGAACCGCUGUCAUUUCCUGAAUCCACUGGAGUUGAGACUUUGCUGAAUUUCCUUGACUGCUUUGGCCAAUGUGGCCGUCCAGCCCCACCAGGAAAUAAUCCCUGCUAAUGGCCACUCUAUGUUAAUCACUUCAUCAUGUUCACUUAACAGCUUGAGCAAGAUGCUGGGCUGUACAAGGGCCGGGUGCUGGCCUGGUGUGCAAGAAAAGGCUCCGCAGAUCAGACGUGCUGCCAUGCACACUGAGAUUUCUACACUGGUGUGAUGCCUUCUCGGUGUGAAGGGCUGCCUCUUGGAGGAGUGAGAGGUUUAGGCAAAGGACUUCAUAACCCCCUUUAAAGAUCUCACACUCUAAGAGAAAGCCAAACAGAUGCGUGGUCUUCAAGUAACUGGUCUUUUGGGACUCUGGGUGAACUUCCCAUCAUCUUCACUGAGCCAGAUUGUAUUCCAACUGCUGCGCUGAGCUCCAGAGGGAAGAGGGAGAUGAAAAUGCACAACCCAACCUCUGCAACACGUCACAGACCAGCUGGGAGAAAGAUGAAGAAGCUCACAUUGAAAAAUCAUCCAAGAUACACUGCCGUACCAGCAAGAACCAUACUGCCUAAACACACUUCCUCUAAAUACACAUCUGCCUUGCUGCCUGGGGUUCUUCCCACCAACUGAUGGUAUCGAAUAAUGAUGCCACAAAAUAUUAGUUCUGGAGAUUGGAGACAUUUCAGUCCAGUGUUUUCCGCAAAGUAUGGUACAUGUGUCACUGUGGUCAGCAAGUAUCUUAGAGUACAUGCAUGUAUUUAUCGUUUUAAUGUUUAUGCACUUAUUCUAAUAUGUAUUAGGAAAAAACAUGCCACCAGCACAUCAAUCUGGGCACUCAGCAGCAUCACUGCAAAGCCCAUGUCUCAUUCAAUGCUUUCUGGGCCAACUGGUUAGCAUGUGAGAAUCAUGGCUGGUGAACCCCAGUCUUGGGGGAGAUGGGUCUCUCCUACCACCUUGGCCUGGUGGCUGUGGGCAACGGUAUUUGGGCAAUACUGCAAUUGGGCAGCCCUGUGAAGACGAUACCCACAGCACCCAACCUUAGGUUUUUAGCAGGAAGUCUCCUUUCUCAAAUCAGACAACUUCCCCCAGAUUUCGAAACAUUUAAUCAGAAAAGAAUCCGGACAUUUAAAAAUUAGAUUUACAAAAUUGACACGGUCUUAAUAUUAGCAAUUUCUCUAUUAUACAUUGUCUAAGAAAAUAAGGUCUAUGAAGACAUCAACAAGGUAUUUAAGAAUUCAUUAUAAGCUACAACAAUUUGCAAAUAAGUAUCCAGUUUAAUUGUAACAAACCAUUGUGAACAAAUUUAACUAAGUAUAUAAAAACAUUAGUUAAAUACAAUUCUCUGGAAAUAUACAUUAUACCUACAGUUGUUGUUGUUUGUUGUUUUUGUUUUUUUUUUUUUUUUACAGUUAGACUCUUCUUGUUUCCUCCCUUUUAAUUCUCAAAAUGGCAAAUCACUGUAUGGUCCUGGAUCUCCAAGCUAUAAAACUGAAAUAUGUGUUUCCAGCAUAGCAGAUGGUGACCAGGAAGGCGAAGAACUGGAGAAAAAGAACAUAGUAGAAAGAAGGCUUAGGGCACAUUCUAAUUAGCAAAAGUUAUCAUUUCACCUCCAUUGAAUCAGGCACUCAUAGCAUCCCUUGACUCCAGGGUUUCUCAUCUAAAACUGCUUUAUUGGUUUAAUUACCUUCCUUUUGAAACAAUCUCUGGCUACGCUGAAUGUUUGGGCUUUUUUGGUUUUUGUUUGUUUGUUUGUUUUUGUUUUGAAACACAUCUGGAAAGCUUGAGUUUUGCUCAAAUAACCACAGGGUGUUCACUUCAGGGUGAAUAUGGUAGUGUGUAUCUGAGAAAAGCACACACAUUCCUAAUUUAGUGCAGACAAUUUUAGAUCAGGGUUUAACCUCAGAUUGCCAUAGGGUCAGUUAAAUAAAGGAGUCAAGUGGGUGAGGGGAAGCGAUAAAGCCACAUGGUGUGAAUGGUGAGCAGGGAAAAUGCAAGCUCCUUGGAAGGGGCAGCUACUGCCCAGUUGUGGCUGAUUCUUGCUGUAUGAUAGCUUGAGCCCAGAGCUGCUAAAGCUCGUGAUUUAAAGAAAAAAAAAAAUUUUUUUUUUAAAGUAGGCUCCAUGCCCAGUGUGGAGCUCAAUGCAGGACUGAACUCAGGACCCUGAGAUCAAGACCCGAGCUGAGAUCAAGAAUUGGACACUUAACUGACUGAACCAUGUGCACCAUGCUCUUUACCUUUAAUAUAGAUUUCUGAAUAUAAAUAUAAGAAUCGAAGGAACAGGGGUGUGGGGAGUGCCUGAGUGGCUCCGUUGGUUGAGGAUCUAACUCUUGAUCUGAGCUCAGGGUCAUGAGUUUAAGACCCAUAUUGAGCUCCACACUGGGCAUAGAGCCUACUUAAAAAAAAAAAAAAAAAAAAAAAAAAAAGAAUAUAACAAAUGGCUACAUAUCAUCAGUUUUAAUAUGAUCAUUUUGAUAUUCUUGUCGAACUGUCAUCCCCACCCCCCUGCCAAUUACAUCUUUUGGGAAUGUAAUAUUUUAACGCCAACUCAGAGAAACUUCUAAAAUAAGUUUUGCAAAUCAGAACUACAAUACACAUUUAUGGUUCAAAAAAUGCAAACAGAACAGAAGCACAUAAAUUAAAAAGCAGAAGCCCUGCAGGCUGCUCCCAUCAUCAUCCAACCAGUCUCUGGAUGGAACCUCUGUUGGUGUGUGCUUUUCUAGAUAUUCUCAAUGCAUAAAUAAACAUCUCUGCUUAUUGAGUAAAAA